UGGCUUAAUCCGAUGCAACGCGAAGAACCUUACCUGGCCUUGACAUGCAUUGUGUCGUCGGUGAAAGCCGGCUAGUCCUGGAAACAGGACCGCCUUUGCACAAAGGUGCUGCNAUGGCUGUCGUCAGCUCGUGUCGUGAGAUGUUNGGGUUAAGUCCCGCAACGAGCGCAACCCUUGUGGUCAGUUACUAACCGGCUUAGCCGGAGGACUCUGGCCAGACUGCCCUGUCAAACNGGGGAGGAAGGUGGGGACGACGUCAAGUCAGNUAUGGCCCUUAUGGCCAGGGCUGCACACGUACUACAAUGCCCGGUACAAUGUGAACCGAAACCGCGAGGUGGAGGAAAUCGCUCUUGAAAACCGGGCCCAGUUCGGAUUGGAGUCUGCAACUCGACUCCAUGAAGUCGGAAUCGCUAGUAAUGGCGUAUCAGCAAGACGCCGUGAAUACGUUCCCGGGUCUUGUACACACCGCCCGUCACAUCAUGGAAGUCUCCUGUACCCGAAGCACGUGCGCCAACCUUUCAGGAGCAGCGUUCGAAGUAUGGGAGGUAACUGGGAUGAAGUC
rnacentral:rRNA from 1 species